CCCUUCGAUGUUCGGAGCUGCACGCGCGCUACACUGACGAAUGCAACGAGCUUAUAACCUUGGCCGAAAGGUCUGGGUAAUCUCCAAAUUUCGUCGUGAUGGGGAUAGAUUAUUGCAAUUAUUAAUCUUCAACGAGGAAUGCCUAGUAAGCGCAAGUCAUCAGCUUGCGUUGAUUACGUCCCUGCCCUUUGUACACACCGCCCGUCGCUCCUACCGAUUGAAUGGUCCGGUGAAGCGUUCGGACCGUGGCCUUUGGACGGUUCGCCGUCUGUUGGCUGCGGGAAGUUCGUUAAACCUUAUCAUUUAGAGGAAGGAGAAGUCGUAACA
rnacentral:rRNA from 1 species